AACGAACGCUGGCGGCAGGCUUAACACAUGCAAGUCGAGCGCCCCGCAAGGGGAGCGGCAGACGGGUGAGUAACGCGUGGGAAUCUACCGUACCCUACGGAAUAGCUCCGGGAAACUGGAAUUAAUACCGUAUACGCCCUACGGGGGAAAGAUUUAUCGGGGUAUGAUGAGCCCGCGUUGGAUUAGCUAGUUGGUGGGGUAAAGGCCUACCAAGGCGACGAUCCAUAGCUGGUCUGAGAGGAUGAUCAGCCACAUUGGGACUGAGAAACGGCCCAAACUCCUCCGGGAGGCAGCAGUGGGGAAUAUUGGACAACGGGCGCAAGCCUGAUCCAGCAAUGCCGCGUGAGUGAUGAAGGUGUUAGGAUUAUAAAGCUGUUUCACCGAUGAAGAUAAUGACGGUAGUCGGAGAAGAAGCCCCGGCUAACUUCGUGCCAGCCGCCGCCGUAA
rnacentral:rRNA from 1 species